rnacentral:rRNA from 1 species
UACGAAGGGGGCUAGCGUUGCUCGGAAUUACUGGGCGUAAAGCGCACGUAGGCGGCUUUCUAAGUCAGGGGUGAAAUCCUGGAGCUCAACUCCAGAACUGCCUUCGAUACUGGAAAGCUCGAGUCCGGGAGAGGUGAGUGGAACUGCGAGUGUAGAGGUGAAAUUCGUAGAUAUUCGCAAGAACACCAGUGGCGAAGGCGGCUCACUGGCCCGGUACUGACGCUGAGGUGCGAAAGCGUGGGGAGCAAACAGG